rnacentral:rRNA from 1 species
UACGUAGGUGGCAAGCGUUGUCCGGAUUUAUUGGGUUUAAAGGGUGCGGAGGCGGUCGGGUAAGUCUGACGUGAAAUCUUCAAGCUCAACUUGGAAACUACGUCGGAUACUAUUCGGCUAGAGGAAUGGAGGGGAGACUGGAAUACUUGGUGUAGCAGUGAAAUGCGUAGAUAUCAAGUGGAACACCAGUGGCGAAGGCGAGUCUCUGGACAUUUCCUGACGCUGAGGCACGAAAGCCAGGGGAGCAAACGGG